rnacentral:rRNA from 1 species
AAACCAGCUCUUCAAGUGGUCGGGAUAAUUAUAGGGCUUAAAGUGUCCGUAGCCGGUUUAGUAAGUUCCUGGUAAAAUCGGGUAGCUUAACUAUCUGCAUGCUAGGAAUACUGCUAUACUAGAGGGCGGGAGAGGUCUGAGGUACUACAGGGGUAGGGGUGAAAUCUUAUAAUCCUUGUAGGACCGCCAGUGGCGAAGGCGUCAGACUGGAACGUGCCUGACGGUGAGGGACGAAAGCCAGGGGAGCGAACCGGAUUAGAUACCCGAGUAGUCC